rnacentral:rRNA from 1 species
CCUACGGGGGUCAGCAGUGGGGGAUAUUGCACAAUGGGGGAAACCCUGAUGCAGCGACGCCGCGUGGGUGAAGAAGCGCCUCGGCGCGUAAAGCCCUGUCAGCAGGGAAGAAAAUGACGGUACCUGAAGAAGAAGCCCCGGCUAACUACGUGCCAGCAGCCGCGGUAAUACGUAGGGGGCAAGCGUUAUCCGGAUUUACUGGGUGUAAAGGGGGCGCAGACGGCGAUGCAAGCCAGGAGUGAAAGCCCGGGGCCCAACCCCGGGACUGCUCUUGGAAAUGCGUGGCUAGAGUGCAGGAGGGGCAGGCGGAAUUCCUGGUGUAGCGGUGAAAUGCGUAGAUAUCAGGAGGAACACCGGUGGCGAAGGCGGCCUGCUGGACUGCAACUGACGUUGAGGCCCGAAAGCGUGGGGAGCAAACAGGAUUAGAUACCCCAGUAGUC